GCCUGGGUGGCUCAGUCCGUUGAGCGUCUGACUUCGGCUCAGGUCGUGAUCGCACGGUUCGUGGGUUCGAGCCCCGUGUCGGGCU
rfam:Felis catus isolate Cinnamon breed Abyssinian chromosome X, whole genome shotgun sequence.